GCCAGCAUGGCACAGUGGUUUGAAUGUUAGACUGCGACUCUGGAGCCCAGGAUUCAAUUCUCAGCUCAGGCA